AAGGAAUUUGAUGCAGAGCGGUGUGCUGGUGAAUAAGCAAUCCAUCUCACUGGGAAUGCAAGUCUUUCCAAAUGGUUUCUGCACAAAUGGAAACCAGCUGAAAAACUGACCACGACCAAGAUGUAAUUUAAGAUGGCAUUUCAGUCUCUUUGUCUUCUCUGUCUCUUGAGAUAUCAUCAUCAAAUAAAGAAUUCAUCAGGUCUGCUGCUGCUGCCCUCCAGUCUUCUUCCUCCUCCUCUGCUAAUGACUCAUCCGAAGGGGACAUGACACUAUCCCCCUCCCCAGGACCAGCCCGCCCCCUCUCCUGGGCCUGGUUUGCUCAGAUAACACUGGUGGAACUGACUGACCAGGCGGGGGGGGCAUGUACCUGUGAGGCGUCUUCCCAGGAGUGUUCCUCUGGGCCAUACCCUUUCCAGUCUAUCAGGUACUGGAGUUGGCUGCAAUGCCUACGGGAGCCCAGGAUCUGCGCUACUUCAAAUUCUUCCUCCUCAUACACUUCCACAGGCAGCAGAGGCCAUGUCCGAGAACUCAAGGGGGGAAGCGGGAGGGCCAGGACCAACAAUGACCUAUGGAAGACAGGGUGGAUGCAAAGGGAUGUGGGGAGUUGCAGCCAGAAAGCCACAGGGUUAACCUGUUAGGUGAUAAAGAAGGGACCGAUGUGUCAUGCAGCCAGUUUCUGACAUGGCCGUUGGGACCGCAGGGACUUGGUUGAGAGCCACACCCCGUCCCCUACCUUUAGCAGAGGGCCUAGCUAGUGGUGGUGAUCCGCAAAUCAUUUAUAUGCAUCCUUCGCCUGCUCCAACUGCUGUUUCAAGACCACCUGUACGGCCUGCAAUUCUUGCAGCAUGAGAUCUGUGACAGGGACUGGUGUGGGGGGGUAGGACCGAGGGAAAGAACCGGGGUGAUAGCCAUAGGAGGUAAAGAAGAAGUUUGAUGUGUGGAGGCAUGUAGAGAGUUAUUAUAUGCAAAUUCAGCCAGAGGCAGUAGAUCCGCCCAAUUGUCCUGCUAGUAGCAGGUGUAACAUCACAGAUACUGUGCCAGUGUGGUGUUGGUGCGCUCUGUCUGCCCAUCUGAUUGCGGAUGGUGGGCUGAGGACAAAUGGACCUCGACAUCAAGGGUUCGGAACAGCACUUGCCAGAACCAGGCAGUGAACUGGGCCCCUAGGUCCGAUAUCAGGUGGUCCGGAAGGCCAUGUAGAUGGAAAACCUGGGCCAAAAACAUCCGAGUGGUUUCUGAGGCUGAUGGGAGUCUGGCACAGGGGAGGAAAUGGGCCAUCUUGGUGAACAGGUCUACUACUACAAGAAUGCUGGUCAUUCCCCUAGAGGAGGGCAGUUCUGUGAUGAAAUCCAGAGAGACUGACUGCCAGGAACCUGGGGGAGUGGGCAGCAGGAUCAGAAGCCCAGGCGGCUUUCCAGGGUGCCCCUUUGCUGAUU